rnacentral:tRNA from 1 species
ACAUGGUGAUUCAGUGGAAGAAUUCUCCCCUUCCAUGUGGGAGACUCAGGUUCAAUUCCUGACCAAUGCA